rnacentral:rRNA from 1 species
GUGAGGAAUAUUGGUCAAUGGUCGUAAGACUGAACCAGCCAAGUAGCGUGAGGGAUGACUGCCCUAUGGGUUGUAAACCUCUUUUAUCUGGGGAUAAAGUGAGCCACGUGUGGCUUAUUGCAGGUACCAGAAGAAUAAGGACCGGCUAAUUCCGUGCCAGCAGCCGCGGUAAUACGGAAGGUCCAGGCGUUAUCCGGAUUUAUUGGGUUUAAAGGGAGCGUAGGCCGCUUGGUAAGCGGGCAGUGAAAUGCAGAGGCUCAACCUCUGACUUGCUGUUCGAACUGCCGGGCUUGAGUACGCACGAGGUAGGCGGAAUUUGUGGUGUAGCGGUGAAAUGCUUAGAUAUCACAAAGAACUCCAAUUGCGAAGGCAGCUUACCGGAGCGCAACUGACGCUGAAGCUCGAAAGUGCGGGUAUCGAACAGGAUUAGAUACCCUUGUAGUCC